CACAUUUUAGAGCUAAAAUCAUAAAGAUAAAUUUAACUUUAUUACCUUCAAAUCCACCUUCUUUUAAAAAUUUUCAAUCUACAUAUCCGUAUAAAUAAAUUUAUUGUAACCCAUUACAAUCUUGUUUAUAAACUGCACCUUGAUCUGAUGUCUUUAAUUAUAAUCAAUUAUGAAUAUUAAUAUUCUUAUAAAAUACUCAACUACGACGAUAUACAAAUUUAUUAAAACAAAUACAAUUAAUCGUGGACUAUCGAUUACAGAACAGGUUCCUCUGAAAAGACUAAAACACCACCAAAUUUUUUAAUUUUCAAGAACAUAACUAAUACUAAUUUAAUCAUUUUAUUUACAUUUUA
rnacentral:rRNA from 1 species